rnacentral:rRNA from 1 species
CCUACGGGAGGCAGCAGUAGGGAAUCUUUCACAAUGGGCGAAAGCCUGAUGCAGCAACGCCGCGUGCAGGAUGAAGGCCUUCGGGUUGUAAACUGCUUUUAUAAGCGAGAAAUAUGAUGGUAACUUAUGAAUAAGGCUCGGCUAGCUACGUGCCAGCAGCCGCGGUCAUACGUAGGAUCCGAGCAUUAUCCGGAGUGACUGGGUGUAAAGAGUUGCGUAGGUGGCAUAAUAAGUAGCUAGUGAAAUCUGGUGGCUCAAACAAUCAGACUAUUAGCUAAACUGUUAGGCUCGAGACCGUUAGAGGUAACUGGAAUGUGUAGUGUAGGAGUGAAAUGCGUAGAUAUUAGAAGGAACACCAAUAGCGUAGGCAGGUUACUGGGACGGUUCUGACACUGAGGCACGAAAGCGUAGGGAGCAAACGGGAUUAGAUACCCCUGUAGUC